rnacentral:rRNA from 1 species
GAUGAACGCUGGCGGCGUGCCUAAUACAUGCAAGUCGAGCGAACGGACGAGAAGCUUGCUUCUCUGAUGUUAGCGGCGGACGGGUGAGUAACACGUGGGUAACCAACCUAUAGGACUGGGAUAACUUCGGGAAACCGGAGCUAGUACCGGAUGAUAUUUUGAAAAGCAUGGUUCAAAAGGGAAAGACGUUCUUGCUGUCACUUAUAGAUGGUUCCGCGCUGCAUUAGCUAGUUGGUAAGGUAACGGCUUACCAAGGCAACGAUGCAUAGCCGACCUGAGAGGGUGAUCGGCCACACUGGAACUGAGACACGGUCCAGACUCCUACGGGAGGCAGCAGUAGGGAAUCUUCCGCAAUGGGCGAAAGCCUGACGGAGCAACGCCGCGUGAGUGAUGAAGGUCUUCGGAUCGUAAAACUCUGUUAUUAGGGAAGAACAUAUGUGUAAGUAACUGUGCACAUCUUGACGGUACCUAAUCAGAAAGCCACGGCUAACUACGUG